GUUGUGCGCGCUUCAUGGAUGUUUCCUCCCUAGACUACGGCGGCGUUCUGCGUGACGCCGUUUUUUUUUGUGCUGC
rnacentral:sRNA from 1 species